rnacentral:rRNA from 1 species
CCUACGGGUGGCUGCAGUGAGGAAUAUUGGUCAAUGGACGAGAGUCUGAACCAGCGAAGUAGCGUGAAGGAUGAAUGCCCUAUGGGUUGUAAACUUCUUUUAUAUGGGAAUAAAAUGUUCCACGUGUGGGAUUUUGUCUGUACCAUAUGAAUAAGGAUCGGCUAACUCCGUGCCGGCAGCCGCGGUAAUACGGAGGUUCCGAGCGUUAUCCGGAUUUAUUGGGUUUAAAGGGAGCGUAGGUGGAGUGUUAAGUCAGGUGUGAAAGUUUGCGGCUCAACCGUAAAAUUGCAGUUGAAACUGGCAGGCUGGAGUACAGGAGAGGCGGGCGGAAUUCGUGGUGUAGCGGUGAAAUGCGUAGAUAUCACGAAGAACACCGAUUGCGAAGGCAGCCCACUGGACUGCAACUGACACUGAGGCUCGAAAGUGUGGGUAUCAAACAGGAUUAGAUACCCUUGUAGUC